CAAGUUAGUUGGAACUGUCUAUCCCAGACUAAGGUUCAAACUAACUUGGGUUGUGUCAAACCCCGAUUUGAUUUCAUUGUGUAAAGCAGGUUCUUUCAAUGGGUAAGGUAAGGUAAUUUUAAAAUAGCUUUAUUAGCAUGACCAUAAAUUUAUAGUAUUGCUAAAGCAUUACAAACAAUAUAUAGAAGAAACUAUGAUAAACUAGGACUAUUACAGAUUACUAUUUGUGGAAUGAUUUAUAAUAGACUAAUACAAUAUUAAGAAAAAUUAAGAGGAAAGAAAGAAGACAAGUAUGC